rnacentral:rRNA from 1 species
AACGUAGGUGGCGAGCGUUAUCCGGAUUUACUGGGCGUAAAGCGUGUGCAGGCGGGUGGACAAGUGGUGUAUGAAAUCGCCAGGCUAAACCUGGCGCGGUUAUGCCAGACUGUCCGUCUGGAGUGCGAGAGAGGGGCGUGGAAUUCCGGGUGUAGUGGUGAAAUGCGUAGAGAUCGGGAGGAACACCAGUGGCGAAGGCGGCUCACUGGCCCGGUACUGGACGCUGAGGUGCGAAAGCGUGGGGAGCAAACAGG